UACGAAGGGGGCUAGCGUUGCUCGGAAUCACUGGGCGUAAAGGGUGCGUAGGCGGGUCUUUAAGUCAGGGGUGAAAUCCUGGAGCUCAACUCCAGAACUGCCUUCGAUACUGGGAAGCUCGAGUCCGGGAGAGGUGAGUGGAACUGCGAGUGUAGAGGUGAAAUUCGUAGAUAUUCGCAAGAACACCAGUGGCGAAGGCGGCUCACUGGCCCGGUACUGACGCUGAGGUGCGAAAGUGUGGGGAGCGAACAGG
rnacentral:rRNA from 1 species